GCGCAAACCAGAUGGGAUGGCGUAUCGCUGCAGAAUGCUGUGGAAGCAAUGCGGUCAAGGACUUUGCUGGCCCAUUGGAAAACACCCGCUGAAGAACCAAAGCCUCCAAAAGGAAAGACAAUAAAGAAACUUGCUCAAACAUCCCAAAAAAGAACAAACAAUGAACCAUCUCAGAAGCGCAAAACACAACAGGCAAAGAAAUCACACUGUAGUUGCAAGCCCAAGAAGAGGAGGAUAAUCAAAGCUGCCAAAAUACAGACACAAAGAAUUUGCUCAAAUACCAGCCACAAAGAUUUUCCUCAAACGCCAGACACAAACAAAGAAGUCUCUCAAAUGCCCCCAGUAAGGGAAGUGGACAUGGGGGCUACUGAAACAUGGGAUGCAGCGGACAUUCUGACCUACCAGAUUCUAUGACAUCCUAUGGGUUCUCUCUCGCUUACUUACACACACACCAGUGCGCAGUAUACAAAGACUCCUGUUUCAAUAUUUUUUUACCAGAAAUGUUUCUGAAAUGGUUUCUCUUUAUUUGUUGUUUUUCUUUUGUAAAGUUAUGUUGGCGAAGAAUGUUUCAUAAAACAAUGUUAGAUUUCAGAACCAAGAGUUGUACAUAGAUACUGUAUGACUAUAUUUGUUUUCUAUUAAAAAAGUUUCUCAAACA